rnacentral:misc_RNA from 1 species
UCCGAGUUGACCCCGGCAGUCUCCCAUGAGUCCCCGCCAUUACGCGCUGGCAACAUGGAACGAGGGUUGCGCUCGUUGCGGGACUUAACCCAACAUCUCACGACACGAGCUGACGACAACCAUGCACCACCUGUGAACCGGCCCCAAAGGGGAAACCACAUCUCUGCGGCGAUCCGGCCCAUGUCAAGCCUUGGUAAGGUGGGGAUGACGUAGGAGGAAUUCCA